rnacentral:rRNA from 1 species
GGAAUAUUGGACAAUGGGGGCAACCCUGAUCAAGCAAUGCCGCGUGGGUGACGAAGGCCUUCGGGUUGUAAAGCCCUUUCGGCGGGGAAGAUGAUGUCGGUACCCGCAGAAGAAGCCGCGGCUAACUCCGUGCCAGCAGCCGCGGUAAUACGGAGGGGGCUAGCGUUGUUCGGACUUACUGGGCGUAAAGGGCGCGUAGGCGGCUCACCUAGUCAGAUGUGAAAGCCCCGGGCUUAACCUGGGAAUUGCAUUUGAGACUGGUGGGCUUGAGAUCGGGAGAGGUGAGUGGAAUUCCCAGUGUAGAGGUGAAAUUCGUAGAUAUUGGGAAGAGCACCGGUGGCGAAGGCGGCUCACUGGCCCGGAUCUGACGCUGAGGCGCGAAAGCGUGGGGAGCAAAC